rnacentral:ncRNA from 1 species
AAUGAUAGAGGCGCGGGCUUCAUGAGUACAGACUGAUACAGGUCGGAAACUGUCAGUCAGGGAAAGGGAAUACCGCCGAAGAGAUCCGGACAUUUCCGAAGAAAGGAUUUCUGGUCUGCCGCAGAAGAUGUGUCAGACUGUCACAGGACUGUGGAGAGCUAUCAU